GGGAGACGCAGAGAGAACCUGGUAGCCAGGUCCACUUAGAGCUGAUGUUGAGUGGACACCUCAGUCUGUUGUCCUAGGUUUGAAACCUGCCACUAUGAGGUAUCAGAACAUCCAGCCAGAACAGGACCACAGGUACUGCAAAGAAACCAGAUAUCCUAGCUGGAAGGCGAAGGAACAGUGGGGUUCAUAGGGCCAGGGAAGUAAAAAGUGGCCAAGUGGAAGGGAACCCAGGAACUUCAGUGAGGGUCACACCCAGGCUCUCCUCUUUAUCAUGGAUGGAAUAAACCACAAGCUCUUUAGAAGGCCUUGGCAGUCUUGGACAGGCAUGUUCAGGGACAGAGACACCCUGAGCUCCAAGAAAUGAUGUUUGUUGAUGCCAGGGUUGUUAAGUCUUUAGAAGGCAAAGGCAAGCUUCCAGGGGUCAGGGACCCAGCUGCAGUUUGGUUAAGGGGGCAACUUUGGUAUUUUUCCUUUCUUCUCUUUCUCCUCCUUCUUACCCUUCCCCUUUCCUUCUCUUCCUCCUCCUUUUCCUUCUCUCCUCCUUCUUUUUCUUCCUCUUCCUCCCCCUGCUCCUUCUCCUCUUCCUCCUCCUUUCCUCUUCUCUCCACUCCUCUCCUUGUCCUCCUCCUCCUGCUCCUCCUCUUCCUCCCCCUCCUUUUCCUUCACUUUGAUUCUUUUCUUGCUUUCCUUAUGUCUACAUUCCCUCUCUGUCUCUUCCCUUCUUCCCUUCUUUUUUUUUUUCUUUUUUUCAGAGCUGGGGACCGAACCUAGGGCCUUGCGCUUGCUAGGCAAGCGCUCCUUCUUCCCUUCUUUAACAGUGGUUUGCAUAUCCCAGGCUGAUGUCAAACUCCACUCUGAGUGAGGGAUGACCUCCCUUGAAGUCCUCCGCAGUGCUGAUAUUACCAACACCACUAGACCCACUUUAUACAACCCAAACCUCACGCAUGCUAGACACGCUCUCUACCAAUCUUGCUAUCCCCAAUCUAAGUGUUUUCUUAGGCUCCUGUUAAUUCCUCAUAAGAAGACGGGAUAUGAACUUGAAAACAGUCCAAUUAAAACGAGCUAUAAAGCUACAGUUAGAAGUGCCUCGUGUACAAAGACCAGCUCUCAGAACUGAAGAAUCUCCCACAUUGUGACAUCAGUAGAGUUCUGACAGCUUCAAAACAAAGCAAAGCUUGCACAGUACUGGCCAGUCCACGCCCGCACCCAGUGAUGAGAGAAAUCCUCAGAAGGGAAGGAGUGCAGAGCUGGGAGAGCCCAGGGUGUGGGUCCCACAACCUGGGGCCAGCACUGUAUCACCUGCUGGUCCCACACAGAAAAUGAGCUGCCAAGGGCAGAGCAGCCCCAGCUCAGGGCACCAGGUGUGUGCUGUCAAAGAAUCCUGGAUGCUGGAUUCUUCCGAGGGCAGGCUUGGCUUGCUGCAACUGUGACAUCUUCCUUACCCCUGUGUGCUUCUUCUAUCACUCGGCCUGGAUACACACGCACUAAAGGCUCCAUGAGGACAUCAGGACAUUGGGAGGACUGAGGACUCGGGGUCUGUCACAAUCAGUGAGGUUCAGCCAGUGGUCCUGUUCUUUCUUUGGGAAUGAUAAGGACUUGUGCUCCUUCCUGGUUGCUGAUUGCACUGGAAGGUCCCUGUCCUGUUAUGUUUAGAAUGUCACACUGGUGACUGCUGUCUUCUUUCCCUUCAUGCUAAGACGUGAGCUGAAAUUAAACCUGGAACGCUGGGA